CGGGCUCGGGGCGCGGGGGACCCGUCCGUCCCUGCCCCGCGGCGCCCGCGGAGAUGAGGUGCGUCUCCUAGAACGAGACAAGAACAACAGGAACCAAACAGGGACCCAUUUAUAACUCAGGAUCUCUAAGAAGAGAUAGAAGUAGUUAAUAUGGAACCGAAACCAUGUGAGUCAACUGCUGAAGAUAUUUUUUCAAGUAGUGGCAUCACAUCCAACAGAGGUCCUUCAAGCCCAUUUUUUGUGUCAUCUGUUCGUGGUACAGUAAUUGAAAACACAGCUUCAACUGGGACUUUGACACAGAUUCCUGUUUUCCCAAAAUAUGAAGUGGAACUUGAUUCUCCUAGAAAAAUCAUUUCUUAUCCAGGGAAAGAGCAUAUUGAACGUGUUUUGGAAGAAUAUUCACAUCAAGUCAAAGAUUUGCAGAGAAGACUAAAUGAAAGCAAUGAACUGCACGAGAAACAAAAGUUUUACCUAAGGCAAUCAGUCAUCGAUUUGCAGACAAAACUUCAAGAGAUGCAGAUGGAGAGAGAUUCUAUGGCAGACACCAGAGGAAGGGAGAGUCAGUCCCAGGAGGAUUUGAGAAAUCAGCUUCAAAACACAGUUCAUGAACUUGAAGCUGCCAAAUGCCUUAAAGAGGAAAUGAUGAAACACAGCAGCACACAGAUAGAGCAGCUCAGAAAGGUGAUGCUUAGUCACGAAGGAGUCCUACAGGAAAUCCGCACCAUCCUAGUUGACUUUGAAGAAGCCUCAGGUAGAAGAUCAAUUUGAAACACUGAAAGCUGAAUCACAGAACAAAAUAGAACUACUACUGCAACAACAUCAAGACAGGAUUGAGCAGUUGAUAAGUGAACAUGAAGUUGAAAUAACAGGACUUACGGAGAAGGCUAGCAGUGCUCGGAGCCAAGCCAACAGUAUUCAGAGUCAACUAGAAAUUAUUCAAGAAUGAGCAAGAAACCAAAACUCAAUGUAUAUGUGUCAGCUCAGUGAACUGGAAUCUACUGUUUCUCAGCUGUGUUCUGAAUUAAGGGAAGCCAAAAGGAUGUAUGAAGACAAGGAGAACCUCCCAGAAUUCCCCUUUUCGAAUUUGGACCAGUAGAAGCUGUCACUAUUGGCUCUGUAGACUUGGCUUUACUCUUAACUUUCGCUUUUGACAACAAAAACACUUUAUGAUCUUAAUUCUAAGUUUAUUUUCCUACUU
rnacentral:lncRNA from 1 species